rnacentral:lncRNA from 1 species
AAAUAACAAAACGCAUCAAAAACGAAUGGACAAGAACUGUCAUAUUCCUGACUUGGUACAGGCAUUUUCAAAUGUAGAAAAUGGUGGAUUGAACCUGGUUUUAUAGCUAGCUAAACCUCUCACUUGUAUGACAGUCGCAUCAAAUUCCAUUGUAUAGUCACCGAUGCGUGAACAAAACAAACAGACACAAUAGGUAAAAAUGUCAAAAAUAGGG